GUUGAACGCUGGCGGCAUGUUUUACACAUGCAAGUCGAACGGUAACAGGCCGCAAGGUGCUGACGAGUGACGAACGGGUGAGUAAUGCAUCGGAACGUACCGUGUAGUGGGGGAUAACCCGGCGAAAGUCGGAUUAAUACCGCAUGAGAUCUACGGAUGAAAGCAGGGGAUCGCAGGACCUUGCGCUACAUGAGCGGCCGAUGUCGGAUUAGCUAGUUGGUGGGGUAAAGGCCCACCAAGGCGACGAUCCGUAGCGGGUCUGAGAGGAUGAUCCGCCACACUGGGACUGAGACACGGCCCAGACUCCUACGGGAGGCAGCAGUGGGGAAUUUUGGACAAUGGGCGCAAGCCUGAUCCAGCCAUGCCGCGUGAGUGAAGAAGGCCUUCGGGUUGUAAAGCUCUUUUGUCUGGGAGCAAACCUUGGUGGUUAAUACCUGCCAAGCUGAGAGUACCGGAAGAAUAAGCACCGGCUAACUACGUGCCAGCAGCCGCCGUAAAAC
rnacentral:rRNA from 1 species